rnacentral:rRNA from 1 species
CGAAGGUCCCAAGCGUUAUCCGGAUUUAUUGGGUUUAAAGGGUGCGUAGGCGGGUUAUUAAGUCAGUGGUGAAGGCCUACAGCUUAACUGUAGAACUGCCAUUGAUACUGAUGAUCUUGAGUACGAUUGAGGUAGGCGGAAUGUGUCAUGUAGCGGUGAAAUGCUUAGAUAUGACACAGAACACCGAUUGCGAAGGCAGCUUACUAAGUCGUAACUGACGCUGAUGCACGAAAGCGUGGGGAGCAAACAGGAUUAGAUACCCUGGUAGUCCACGCCCUAAACGAUGAUCACUCGAUGUGUGCGAUACACUGUACGCGUCUGAGCGAAAGCAUUAAGUGAUCCACCUGGGGAGUACGACCGCAAGGUUG